GAUCAUGGCUCAGGAUGAACGCUGGCGGCGUGCCUAACACAUGCAAGUCGAACGAAGCACUAAAGCGGAUCCUUCGGGAGAAGUUUUGUGACUGAGUGGCGGACGGGUGAGUAACGCGUGGGUAACCUGCCCUGUACAGGGGGAUAACAGUCAGAAAUGACUGCUAAUACCGCAUAAGCGCACAAAAGGACAUCCUUUGGUGUGAAAAAACUCCGGUGGUACAGGAUGGGCCCGCGUCUGAUUAGCUUGUUGGCGGGGUAAAGGCCCACCAAGGCGACGAUCAGUAGCCGGUCUGAGAGGAUGAACGGCCACAUUGGAACUGAGACACGGUCCAAACUCCUACGGGAGGCAGCAGUGGGGAAUAUUGCACAAUGGGGGGAACCCUGAUGCAGCCAACGCCGCGUGAGUGAAGAAGUAUUUCGGUAUGUAAAGCUCUAUCAGCAGGGAAGAUAAUGACGGUACCUGACUAAGAAGCUCCGGCUAAAUACGUGCCAGCCGCCGC
rnacentral:rRNA from 1 species